UCUUUGAAAGAUGAAAAUUUAACUUCAACAACUGCAAUAACAAAUUCAGCAACAGAAGAGAAGUCUACAGCUGCUGCUGCCACCACCAGUUCUCUAAGAAACAACUCUUAUGACUUUACCUACAUCAACGAGUCAAAAAGCUGGAUUGACGCACUGGGAUACUGCAAAACUCACCACCAGACUUUGGUGCACAUUUUAAAUGCCACGGCACAACAGUACAUCACACAUAUGCUGCAGGGUAAAGAAAUCCCCAAUGGAGUGUGGAUCGGGCUUGAACGGAGUAUGCUCUUCACUUGUUCGCCCUGGCUGUGGACCGGUGGGCCGUAUGUGGACUAUGCAUCAUGGCAUCAAACGUAUCCAGUGGACAGAGGGAGCAGGUUUUGUGGAAAACUUCUUAAGGAUGAAAAGAACGUGUUUGGAUGGGUGGAUGCUUGCUGCCAUGAGCACCUUCCUUUCUUUUGUCAGGGAUGAAACACUAGGUGGAGCUGUUUCCUAGUUUGGAGUCGGUUGGUGAUGAUCACAGAAACUGAGUCAUGAUGUUUUGAUAAACAUUUUUUGUUUUCUUUCUAAACAAGUUACAGUAAUAUGCAGCCCUGUGGUGUGGACUUGCAUUUGCAUUAAAAAAUGAUUUGCAUUACAAAAUUAC